UUGACUAACGUAUGUGUACAUUUAUUUUGCAACGCUCACGCUAGCGACGUGAGUGGUGUGGUCAGAAUGUAAGUUUAGUUUUUGCGUCUCUUUUUGUUUUGUACACCAGCUGACAAUACAAUAUUUUUGGUUAUUGAAAAGAUAUUUCACAGCGGUUUAGAUGGUACAAUGAUUCUCUACACUACUUGUUUCAUCACAUAAACUGAAAUUAGGCGGACCAUUAGAAUCUUAGCAACCAGGAAAUGGCAGCGCGAUUCCUGCCUAUUGCACCUAUUUAAGUUGAGGUGAUUUUCUUCACAAGGCAACUUAAUAAAAAAACUCCUCUCUCCAGGUGCUCAGCUGGGUACAGUGGUCGCCCUUCCCCUGUCUGGUCAGAUCUGCUUCUACCUCGACUGGACCUGGGUAUUUUAUAUAUUUGGAAAGGCCGACAGAGGGUUUGAAACAGAGAAGAUGUGAAACUGAACUUUAUAGCAUUUGACCCAUUUCACACAGGUUUUUCGUAGUGUCGGCUUUGUACAGUUUUGUCUUUGUUCAUGCUUACAAUGAAUACAGACACGAUUUCCUUUAUGCAUUCCUUUUUUUAGGGAACAUAAAGGGGAAAACACUUGGUGGGAAAUAUGAUUGGGGGGAAAUUAAGUGCAUGUCACAAGCAAAGCUUGUGCGGCAUGUCCGUACAUGUGUUUGUGUUUACAUUUGAGUCAUUUAGCAGAUGCUCUUAUCCAGAGAAACGUACCAUUUGACCAUUAGUGCACUAUUUGACUGUGUGUGUUUUAGGUAUUGUGGAGAUUGUGUGGUUCAUCCUGUGGGCUCUCCUUGUCAGUAACACUCCAAGCACACACUCGCGGAUCUCAGAACAGGAGAGACUACAUCACUUCUACCCUGAAUAAGGACGUAUGUUGCAAAAGCAGCUGGGAAUUGUAGUGUCUGAUCUUUAUGUCUAAGGCCCACUCUUUGUAAAUUGGCAGACUAUGGUUGUGUCAGGUUCAUGAACAUUAAGUACAUAAAUAUAGAAUACAGUGGUCAAAUACGCAGUGAAGUUAUGUACAGCUUUUUUGUUUUUGUUUUUGUCCUCAGUACAGUAGCAGUGUAAACUGGCACACUAUUUGGUGCAACAGCAAUCUCAACAGGAGGAACUGACUGCCUUUUUAUGAACACUGUUAUAUGCAACCCUUUUUACUGCGGUCACAUAACAUUUAUUGUAUUUUUACUUCACAUUUGUUAUGCAACACAUGGCAGACAUUGAGACAUUGAAAAAAAAAUAAGGUGUUUCUAGCCAAAUAUCAACAAAGCACUUUUCUAAGCCACCCUCAAAUAAGCCAGUGAUAAAAGUGAUAUUCCACAUGGGCAAGUCUAGUGUUAUUUUAAGAUGGUCAUCUUUGAUGUUCUUUUGUUCAGAUCUCUCCGACAGGGGACCACAUCCCCUGGGGGUCCAUCUUGAAGGCCAUGCCGCUGUGGGUCAUAGUGGUGGCUCACUUCUACCACUGGACCUUCCACACACUACUCACCCUGCUGCCCACAUACAUGAAUGAUGUAAUGGGCUUCAGUAUCAAAGAGGUGAGUUCGUUUGUUCUGGUCACACACCCAGCCACACAGUCUCUGUCAUUAACCCAGUGUUUGUUGUAUGUGGUCCCGUUGGAACGGUGCCCUGUCGCCUCUGCCCUACACCGGCUGUGGGCUGCUAGCUGUGCUGGGUGGCCAGCUGGCGGAUUACCUGAGGGAGAACUUCUUCUACCGCACUGUGGUCAUCAGGAAGACCUUCAGUCUCAUCGUUAUGCUGGAAUUUUGUUGGGAAUCACAAACUCCUUUGCCACGAUACCUGGUAUGGUGGGACCAGUCAUAGCAAGAGCCCUGACCAAAAAUGUAGGGGUUUGCGCUGGAUUUUGUGGACUCUUGUGCCUAAAAUCACUUGAUGAAGUCUUGCAUGGCCUGACAUCAGACAAGUACCAUUUCUAUUUUUAGUCAUCAUUUGUUGCUUCCUCCGCUAGAUGCUCAGGAGAAGAAAAAACAACAACAAGCCAUAUGAAUUAAGGAUCUUGUAUGUAGCACAGUUAGCGGCAACUGAAAGAACCCAAUCUCAGAGGAUAGAAUCCAAGUGCAGUUCACCCACUCCCAAGGCGAAGGAUAUACGUCUCACUCGAGAACAGGCCCCGACCCCAGUGAUCUGCGUGAAGAGGAGGCGGAGAAAGAGAGGCCGGGGGGCAGGCUGCCUUCUGAGGAGUCGGAGGCGAUCGAAUAAACCCCCACUCCCCUCUAUUCUGCAAGCAAGCAUGCAAUCUUUGGACAAUAAAAUGGAUGAGUUAUUGGGUAGAUUAAACUACCAACGGGACAUUAAAAACUGUAACAUCUUAUGCUUCACGGAGUCGUGGCUAAAAGACGACAAUAUCAACAUAUAGCUGGCUGGUUAUACGACGUACCGGCAUUAUAGAACAGCGGCGUCUGGUAAGACAAGGGGCGGCGGUCUAUGUAUUUUUGUAAACAACAGCUGGUGCACAAUAUCUAAGGAAGUCUCGAGCUAUUGCUCGCCUGAGGUAGAGUUUCUCAUGAUAAGCUGUAGACCACAUUAACUACCGAGAGAGUUUUCAUCUGUAUUCUUUGUAGCUGUUUACAUACCACCACAGUCAGAGGCUGGCAAUAAGAUAGCAUUGAAUGAGCUGUAUUCCACCAUAAGCAAACAAGAAAACGCUCAACCAGAAGCGGCGCUCCUAGUAGCCGGGGACUUUAAUGCAGGGAAACUUAAGUCAGUUUUGUUAAAUGUGCAACCAGAGGGAAAAUAACUCUGGACCUCCUAUACUCCACACACAGAGAUCCAUACAAAGCUCUCCCUCGCCCUCCAUUUGGCAAAUCUGACCAUAAUUACAUCCUACUGAUUCCUGCUUACAAGCAAAAAUUAAAGCAGGAAGCAACAGUGACUAAAUCAAUAAAAAAGUGGUCAGAUGAAGAAGAUGCUAAGCUACAAGACUGUUUUGCUAGCACAGACUGGAAUAUGUACCGGAUUCCUCCAAUGGCAUUGAGGAGUACACCACAUCUGUCAUUGGAUUCAUCAAUAUGUGCAUCGAUGGCGUCGUCCCCACAGUGACCGUACAUACCUACGCCAACCAGAAGCCAUGGAUUACAAGCAGCGUCCGCACUGAGCUAAAGGCUAGAGCUGCCGCUUUCAAGGAGCGGGACUCUAACCCGGAAGCUUAUAAGAAAUCCCACUAUGCCCUCCGACGAUCCCUCAAACAGGCAAAGCGUCAAUACAGGACUACAGUCGUACUACACCGGCUCUGAAGCUCGUCGGAUGUGGCAGGGUGUGCAAACCAUUAAAGACUACAAAGGGAAGCACAGCUGAGAGCUGCUGAGUGACACGAGCCUACCAGACGAGCUAAACUACUUCUAUCCUCGCUUCGAGGCAAAUAACACCCAAACAGGCAUGAGAGCACCAGCUGUACUGGAAGACUGUGUGAUUAAGCUCUCCGCAGCUGAUGUGAGUAAGACCUUUAGACAGGUCAACAUUCACAAGACCGCAGGGCCAGAUGGAUUACCAGGACGUGUACUGCGAGCAUGCGCUGACCAACUAGCAAAUGUCUUCACUGACAUUUUCAACCUCUCCCUGUCCAAGUCUGUAAUACCAACAUGUUUUAAGCAGACCACCAUAGUGCCUGUGCUCAAAAACACUAAGGUAACCUGCCUAAAUGACUACCAACCCGUAGCACUCACGUCUGUAGCCAUGAAGUACUUUGAAAGGCUGGUCAUGGCUCACAUCAACACCAUCAUCCCAGAAACCCUAGACCCACUCCAACUUGCAUACCGCCACGACAGAUCCACAGAUGAUGCAGUCUCUAUUGCACUCGUCACUGCCCUUUCGCACCUGAACAAAAGGAACAUCUAUGUGAGAAGGCUCUUCAUUGACCAUCGC